GGUUCUAUGGCGCAAUCGGUUAGCGCGUCCGGCUGUUAACCGGGAGGUUGGAAGUUCGAGUCUUCCUAGUACCG